GACGAACGCUGGCGGCGUGCUUAACACAUGCAAGUCGAACGGAAAGGCCCGGCUUUUGUGGGGUGCUCGAGUGGCGAACGGGUGAGUAACACGUGAGUAACCUGCCCUUGACUUUGUGAUAACUUCAGGAAACUGGGGCUAAUACCGGAUAGGAGCUCCUGCUGCAUGGUGGGGGUUGGAAAGUUUCGGCGGUUGUGGAUGUACUCGCGGCUUAUCAGCUUGUUGGUGGGGUAGGGGAUUACCAAGGCUUUGACGGGUAGCCGGCCUGAGAGGGUGACCGGCCACAUUGGGAAUGGGAUACGGCCCAGACUCCUACGGGAGGAAGGAGUGGGGAAUAUUGAACACUGGGCGGAAGCCUGAUGGAGCAACGCCGCGUGCGGGAUGACGGCCUUCGGGUUGUAAACCGCUUUCGCGUGUGGAGAAGCGUGAGUGACGGUAAUGGGUAAAGAAGCACCGGCUAACUACGG
rnacentral:rRNA from 1 species